rnacentral:misc_RNA from 1 species
GGAAAGCAGCCUGAAAAGCAAGAGCAAAAUGGCGGCACAAAUUGUAACAGGCGCACAGUGACAGCAACAGCAACGGCAGCAGCAAAAGCAACAGCAACAGCAACGGCUGUUAGCCGAGCAGCAGCCGAAGCUGAUUCGUUUUCGGUUGCCUAACAACUUCGUCGUGACAUACAACAAAAGGAUAAGCCAAGUCAGCCUGCCAGCUAGUCAGCAAGUCAAGCCGGGACUCAGUUGCAAUAGCGCAACGCAUUCGCUAAGACGCGAACAGAACGCGACGCGGCAUCACUCAACAAAAAGUUACUAAAUAAUCAGCGAAUAUAUAGAAAUAGAAACACUUGUACAAAUUGUUGGUGGCAAGUUACCUUGGCCAUCGAUCGCACCUCUCUAGUUCGCAUGCCAGGCUGGCGUACAUUACGUGCACGAGGCUAGAACUAAGUAGGCAGGGCCGAUGUCCUUGGUUUACUCUAGAGCUUGCAGCGUGUGGCAAUGGUUAUACUGAUGUGCUGAGCACUGCGUGCGUCAAUUAAAGGCCUGUACAGGUGUGUUGUGUGUGCGUGGGUCAGUGUAUUUGUGUUAUGGGCACUAUAAUACGCCUUGGCUAAUUGUUAUGCAAUCGUCUAACUUUAAGCCAAAAGGGAUAUGUCUUUGAAACGUUAUGCAAUAAUCGCGGCGGUAAGUCAGCAGCAGCAACCGCAGCAGCUGCAGCUACACAAUGCAACAGUCAUGUCAACAGCAAGGACAACGACAGCAACAGCCUCAGCAAUAACCUCAUCAUCUCAAUCCGGCAGCGAGGAAGAGCUGCAGCAUUCCCAAGAGCUUGCCAGCAGCUCCUCCAUAACCACCUACUACAAUGGCGGCAUGGGCCUCUAUAAUCAGCAGCGUGGCAUUGGCGGUGGAAUAUCACUGCUCAAUGGCGCAGCCGGCUCCGGCAGCAGUCACGGGACGAGUGGUGGCAGCAGCUCACAGACCUACGCUCACGUUGUCAAUGGCAGCGUGAAUCUUCUGCUUGGCGGGUCUAUGCUCUGCCUGGUGACUACAAUUUUAUGUGUAGUUUGCUAUUGUUGCCAUCGCAAUAUCAAAAAGCGUACUGAGGCCGCCUACAGGCAGCAACAACAUCAAUGGCUGGAGAAUGAUCCCAAUAUGGAAAUUUAUAGUGUUGAACAGUGCUAUGAGACUUCGGGUCUCUUUUUGGGGGAUUCAACGGACGGCCUAGCCACCUUGCCGGCCUUGCAUCAUGAGCCGCCGCCUUCCUAUGACGCUGUUGUUUUGCACGAGCAGCAGCUGUUGCAACAGCAACAGCAACAACUGGAGGAGCAACAACUGCAGCUACAGCAACAGCAACUACUUUUACAACGAGUCUCGCCGCCGCCUGGAUAUCGCUCCACGCUGGAUAUAAGCAACGUGCAGCAAGUAAUGGGGGUGUCAAGUGGCGAUGGCAGCGCCGAUGGCAUUACAGGGAGCAGCAGUUGCAGCAGUAGUGCCGGAGCUGGCGCACUGUUGGUUAACAAGCAAUUGCAGCGCACUUUAAAUGCUCAAUCCUGUUGCUCUCUGCAGCGUGCCGAGGUGGAAAACAUGUGGAACGCAGCCGCAGCGGCAGUGGUUGCGCGCAAUGGUCAUUGCCAGGAACUGGACACAUAUAUGCCUUCGCCAUCGCCAUCGCCUUUGCCGUUACCACUAGCACUCCAGGCACGCAAACAUGCCCAGGCGGCCAUGCGGCUGAAUAGUUUCGGGAGACGUUACUUGCAGUACAGCCAACAUCAUCAGCAGCAGCACAGCCACUACAGACGCGGCUGUCCAUUGUGCGGCAAGUUUCGUUACGCGUCCGAAGACGAGGCGUUGACGGCAUCUGUGGAGAGUGUCCCGGAACAGUACGAUGCCAAUGACAAUUUCGCAAGUGCUGAGCAACAGCAGCCGCAAGCGGCCAUAGAAGCUCCAAAUCGAAUUGAUGCUGAUGCAGCAAAUGGAAAUGUGGUGGACAGCACAACUGAGGGAACGUUAGCAACUGAUAGCGACGUAGACGAAAAUGACAAUGCAGAAGCGAUGUCAGUAGCAGCAGAAGUGGCAACAGCGACUGCAAUUGUAGCUGUGGUUGCUGAAAACGGCCACCUGGACGCCAACCUGGAUAUUGACAAUAUCAACGAGAACGGCAUCGUCAGUCUGGACAUGAGCAAAAUCAUUGACAUAUCGGGCCUACCCACAUACGAGGGCGCCCUAAAGCUUGAAUCCAGCGGCUAUGUGUGAAACUCAAAUGUUUCUUGGCAUGCAUAAGUUCAAAAUUUACAAUACGAUAUAUAUCACAUAUGUGCUUUAUUUUUUAAGACAGUUAAGAGCAGAGAAAUCAGUCUGCGAUGUGUGUUGUUCUGGCCGAUGCCUUGAGUAUUCUUAGUAUUAGGUAAUUUCCCCGAUUUCUACCAACUAUUCUUUAGCAAUCUUGAUCUCGGGUUGCGUGAUUUUUGCAUUUGCCCCCAAACCAUUAAGGUUCCUCUGUAACACACACAAAUGUAUUGUUAAUGUUAGCUGUUAGUUCUAAGCAUGCAUAUCCCAGAUGAAAAGGUUUGCUGCUAGCAAGUUAUAAACAAAAAUAUCAAUAAAAAUGUACUUGAGCAAAUUUAACUGAACCACUAAACUUUGUGGAACCUUAACCGUAAUACUUUUGCCUUUACGCUCAUCAAAGCUAAUCUGAUUGAUUUCGCAUUAAAUAUAACGAUUGAGUAGGCCAAGAGUGACAUGACGCCUAACAAGCGGCAAGAGUAUUACCGUUAACCGUGAAAAGGGCCCCUAUUCGGGAAAAGACUUAUAUAUGAUGGUGUAGGAGGCACACACCUACCCACUUACCGACCCACACACACGCGUUGUUGUCUCUGCCGCGUUUUGCUCGUCCCAUGACGGCAAUAAAGAAAAUAUGGCCGCAAACAAAUCGCCCGUAAUGUGAAGCCAGGCUUGACAACAGAACUUGGAGAAAAGCCAACAAAUAAGUUACAUACUAAAAAAUGGUAACAAGCAACUUGUUAGAAGCUCUCAUUAUUUGUGGCAAUUUCGAAUGUAUAGGCGGCUGCUGAGAAAAAGGGUUCGCUUGGAACAAAAACUUGUAUUGUCGACACACUUGCAAAGGAUGACGGACAGGAGGCAGCAGCUGUGCCCAGAAUCAGAACAAGAGUUCAGUUUUUCUUACUCACUUAGUGCACGAAACACUAAAAAUAGUUUUAGCCCAGACAGGCAUUGCCCCCGCCCAACUCAUACGUAUAUGGGCUGUUCAAUUUGCAGUGUGGCUUAUCGUGCGCAUUAUGAUCUCAUGACCCAAUAGCUAAGAUUGCGGCCGCUUAAGAUGGAUGGGGGAUAAUCCGGCUAGAUGGCGCGUGUGUGACCCAAAUAGAAACGUAUGCGCAAUGCCAGUUGAAGUUGUUGUCUAAUAAUGCCUAACAAUCCGCACAGCAAUAAUAAAUUGAGAAUUUAUCGUUUAACACCUG